CAGGGGGCCAGCUGAAAGGGAAGCAUUAGCCCGGCGCUUUGUGGAGGCUCCAGAGCGCCAUUGUCCUCAGAGCCUCAAACUAACGCAGUCAUCAAUCUGGCAGCCGCGGCCGGUGGCGAACGGACCCGGGAGCACACAAUGGUAAACUCAAUGCGAAAGUAGAGGUGGGCACAAGGCGCAGGGACACGGGCUCCUUCCAUCUGAUGGGCGUCUUCAUCUACUGCAAGAACUGCUGUAGUAAAAAAGCUUCAAAUAGCCGUAUUAUCCGACCAGUGCUUUUGGGGAACCUGACUUACGCUCCUGAUUAUAGUUUGUCACAAUAUAUGCUUCAAGAAAAGGCAUCGGUGGCACUGUAGCUUAUCCAACACACUCUGAUCACAUUGUAAAACAUCAAACUGUAAGAUGGAAUUGUAUUUCUAUUCAAUUGCAUUUUUAUUUGUAGCUUAAUACCUAUUUCAAAUGCCCAUGAUGAUUCAAUAUAUGUGAUUUUUCUGAAUAAAUCUUAUCUGUACGUGU